rnacentral:rRNA from 1 species
CGAUUACGGCUCAGUAACACGUGGAGAACCUGCCCCCUCCCCCGGGAUAGCCGCCCGAAAGGACGGGUAAUACCGGAUACCCCGGGGUCCGCAUGGCGCCCGGGCUAAAGCCCCGACGGGAGGGGAUGGCUCCGCGGCCCAUCAGGUAGACGGCGGGGUGACGGCCCACCGUGCCGACAACGGGUAGCCGGGUUGAGAGACCGACCGGCCAGAUUGGGACUGAGACACGGCCCAGACUCCUACGGGAGGCAGCAGUGGGGAAUCUUGCGCAAUGGGGGGAACCCUGACGCAGCGACGCCGCGUGCGGGACGGAGGUCUUCGGGUCGUAAACCGCUUUCAGCAGGGAAGAGUCAAGACUGUACCUGCAGAAGAAGCCCCGGCUAACUACGUGCCAGCAGCCGCGGUAAUACGUAGGGGGCGAGCGUUAUCCGGAUUCAUUGGGCGUAAAGCGCGCGUAGGCGGCCCGGCAGGCCGGGGGUCGAAGCGGGGGGCUCAACCCCCCGAAGCCCCCGGAACCUCCGCGGCUUGGGUCCGGUAGGGGAGGGUGGAACACCCGGUGUAGCGGUGGAAUGCGCAGAUAUCGGGUGGAACACCGGUGGCGAAGGCGGGCU